GAUGAACGCUGGCGGCGUGCUUAACACAUGCAAGUCGAACGGGGCUCUUCGGAGUCAAGUGGCGGACGGGUGAGUAACGCGUGAGAAUCUGCCCUAAGGUGGGGGACAACCAUUGGAAACGAUGGCUAAUACCCCAUAUGCCGAGAGGUGAAAGGUUAACUGCCUUGGGAUGAGCUCGCGUCUGAUUAGCUAGUUGGUGGGGUGAAGGCCUACCAAGGCGACGAUCAGUAGCUGGUCUGAGAGGAUGAUCAGCCACACUGGGACUGAGACACGGCCCAGACUCCCACGGGAGGCAGCAGUGGGGAAUUUUCCGCAAUGGGCGAAAGCCUGACGGAGCAACGCCGCGUGAGGGAGGAAGGUCUUUGGAUUGUAAACCUCUUUUCUCUAGGAAGAUAAUGACGGUACUAGAGGGAUCAGCAUCGGCUAACUCCGUGCCAGCAGCCGCGGUAAUACGGGGGAUGCAAGCGUUAUCCGGAAUUAUUGGGCGUAAAGCGUCCGUAGGCGGCUAGAUAAGUCUGUUGUUAAAGCGUGCAGCUCAACUGCAUACGGGCAAUGGAAACUAUUUAGCUAGAGUGUGGUAGGGGUAGAGGGAAUUCCCGGUGUAGCGGUGAAAUGCGUAGAUAUCGGGAAGAACACCAGUGGCGAAAGCGCUCUGCUGGGCCACAACUGACGCUGAUGGACGAAAGCUAGGGGAGCGAAAGGGAUUAGAUACCCCUGUAGUCCUAGCCGUAAACGAUGAACACUAGGUGUUGUCUGUAUCGACCCGGACAGUGCCGUAGCUAACGCGUUAAGUGUUCCGCCUGGGGAGUACGCACGCAAGUGUG
rnacentral:rRNA from 1 species